GAUGAACGCUGGCGGCGUGCCUAAUACAUGCAAGUCGAGCGAACGGACGAGACGCUUGCUUCUCUGAUGUUAGCGGCGGGCGGGUGAGUAACACGUGGAUAACCUCCCUAUAAGACUGAGAUAACUUCGGGAAACCGUAGCUAAUACCGGAUAAUCUUCUGAACCGCAUGGUGCAAAAGUGAAAGACGGUCUUGCUGUCACUUAUAGAUGGAUCCGCGCUGCAUUCGCUAGUUGGUAGGGUAACGGCUUACCAAGGCAACGAUGCAUGGCCGACCUGGGCGGGGGAUCGGCCACACUGGAACUGAGCCACGGUCCAGACUCCUACGGGAGGCCGCAGUAGGGAAUCUUCCGCAAUGGGCGAAAGCCUGGCGGAACAACGCCGCGUGAGUGAUGCAGGUCUUCGGAUCGUAAAACUCUGUUAUUAGGGAAGAACAUAUGUGUAAGUAACUGUGCACAUCUUGACGGUACCUAAUCAGAAAGCCCCGGCUAACUACGUG
rnacentral:rRNA from 1 species